GGGCAUUUGGUCUAGUGGUAUGAUUCUCGCUUUUGGUGCGAGAGGUCUUAAGUUCAAUUCUUAAAAUGCCCC
rfam:Ipomoea nil DNA, scaffold: scaffold3169, cultivar: Tokyo-kokei standard.